UACGUAGGCAGCGAGCGUUGUUCGGAGUUACUGGGCGUAAAGGGUGUGUAGGUGGCGCCGUAAGUCGGGUGUGAAAUUUCGGAGCUUAACUCCGAAACUGCAUUCGAUACUGCGGUGCUUGAGGACUGGAGAGGAGACUGGAAUUCAUGGUGUAGCAGUGAAAUGCGUAGAGAUCAUGAGGAAGACCAGUGGCGAAGGCGGGUCUCUGGACAGUUCCUGACACUGAGACACGAAGGCCAGGGGAGCAAACGGG
rnacentral:rRNA from 1 species